GCCUUUCUCCUCACUGCUGCUUCUGUUUACCACUAGAUGGCGCUAAAACCAGGGUUAUAGCCGUCAGGGACUCAGGACUAGUUGGGAGUCCAGAGGGCUGGAAUUUGAUAACUGGAAGAUCCCUUCAAAGAAUUCUAAGUCUUUUCAAGACCGAAUGGACCACAGAGGAGAGGCACUGGGUAGAAAACUCAACAGGUGAUAUUUGAAGACCUCUACUUAUAGCCUGGGUCAUCCCCCUGGAAGCUGAAGAUCCUGUUCUCAAAGCCUUUUAAUUGCUUGGCUAAAGACUGAACACGUACCUUGUUCCCCACCAAAGCCGCUGCCUGGCAGAACAUUCCAGGGCACAGGCUCUUGCAUUCUCCAGUCUGGAAGCUUCUGCUUCCACGGCCUGACAGAGUGAGCCGGACCAGGCCAUCAUGUUCAUGGUUCCAGCCCUACUAAGACUGGGCUC
ensembl:lncRNA